UAAAUCGCCGAGGGUGUCGAUC
rnacentral:siRNA from 1 species